rnacentral:misc_RNA from 1 species
CUCACUCCCUUCCUGUCGCACCGCCUCCUUUCGUUUUUGCUUUCUCGUGUUUACUCUCCUUUCCGCCUCUCUGCCACGUUUCUACUUGGUUCCACAUUUGAAGUACGCAAUAGACAACGAGAAACUCACACGAGGACGCAGAAAAAGAGGUCGUUGCUCUGCUCCAUCUUACGACGCUUUCUUUCACGCUAAGUGGAUUCUUUCUCUUCUGUGUUGACGCCAUUCUAGUAGUUUCUAUAUCUUUCUGCUUUGCAGAGUGAAGUACGGCCCGUGCCUUCCUUUUCUCUGUAGGUGAUCGGGUGCGAGGGUUAACCGAAUCUUCUUUUGUGCCCCGCGUGCAUCUUUUCCCUGUAGCUCCUCUUACCGCGCGCGGGGUAAAACUUGACAGAACGGCGUCGCCGUCCUCAGGGUUGGACCACUCAACGUUUUUGUGGUCCACCACUUUGCUCGCAUCGGUAUCCUCGGUAGGUAUUCGCGGAGACACCCCCCCUCCUUCUCCUCCUCCGACGCACACACUGGUAAAGCUGAUAGAGGCACAAAUAGUUCCUGGUUUCUAGGAGUGGAGUCGCCUGCGCAACGAAAGCUAACCAUCAACAGCAUCUCACACAAACACAUUCGCCAGCCACGCAUACGUUUAUGAGGAGGAGGAGAAGACGGACUGUUUUGUGGUGCCUUUCUCGCCCUCGCCCUCUCUCUUUUUUAAUUCAUACACGCCGCUGUUGCUGUACGGUUUUGACCUCGUCGUGCUCCUGUCGAGUGUGUCAAAGACGGUUUUCCCAAUCGAGUUGACGCGAUUACGCACGCCUCCCCUCCCCCUAUCAGAUAUAUGCGCGCGCGCACACACACACAGCACACAGACAUCACCUUAGCGGAGCUCUUUCCUUUUCGUUUGGUUGUUCCGUGCGUUUGUUUCGGCUUUGCACGGCUUUACAGUUCGCAUCACCAGUGACCGCACUCGUGGAAGAGACCGACCGCUGUUAGGAGUGGCCCUCUCUCCCCCGACACCCUCAAAAACACACACACACACACACACACACACACGCACCACUUCUCCUCACGUGAGUGGGGCAAGCGCGUGCGUUUACCUUUCACAUUCGGUCAGAAGACUUUGUCUUUUGUGUCCUGUUUUUUUUUUCCGGUUUUUCUGUGUUGUGUGCUUGCCUCGUCCCUUUCUCUCGCUCUCUCGGUCCCUCCGCUUUCCCGAGCGGUCUGCUUUGGCACCCACAAAGGAAAGCGCACCACCGAUUCAGUGUUAGGUUUAUACAGGUCCGUUACCUUCGUCUUUCAGAAUCGCUAUCGGGCUCGUGAACCCCUGCUCUGACGCGCUCUCUUCUCCUUUCCUGUGCUUUUUUCUUUUUCUCUGUGCUCAGUUGCCACGUGGUGGGCAACUGCACCAGUAGCGGAGCCGCGUAGGAUUAGACUUGAAAGAGAAAGGGCGAGAAAGCCUGUACUCUGGUCUUCUCCCACUACACCCCAUCGCAUUUCUUUUGUUCGGUCCUCGUAGCCACCCGAAAUCCCCUGCCCUUUCCCUCACCGCGCCAUCGGCUCCCCUUAUUCACGCAGCAGCUCUUUCGAAACGGAGCGACCGAGGUAGAGUGCAGGUGUGUAUAUGUGUGUACCGGCCAGGGUCGCCUCUACUUUCACUCUUUUUUUUAUUUUUGUUCUCUGCUGACCAUUCUUUUCUUGUGUGUGUGUGUGUCUGCCUGUCUGUGUGUCGUUCACCCCUCCCCCUCCCCGAGAGCUUCUUCCUUUGUUCGUCGAAGCGCUGUGACUGGACCCAGCUUUCUGUCUACAAAGGGUUUCUCAUCACCGCACAGGACAGUUGUGAGAUUGAAAAGGUAAAAAAAAAAACAAGACGGCGGAGCGCAUUCUCCCGUUUCUUUUUCUUUCUUUUUGUGUGCGUGUUCUCUUUUCUCUUGUGUGUCUAGAGUGGUAGUCAAGUAGAAACACUCGCGCACGAACAGAUAAGCCUCUCCCCGCCACCGCCUCUGCUGCUUGGUUAGAGGGUCCGCACUGCUGCCACCUCUCUCUUGGCAGCGCUCUUAAUAUAACCCUUUCUUUGGUUUGUCUGUUCUCAUUCGUGGGUUGGCCUGUCAAGAGAACUCUAAGUUGCUUUUUUUUGAGUUAGUUCUUUCUCUACCCCUUCCCCCCACACACACGCACAAGGUACGAUGAACAUUCUACAUAAGAUUUUCACGCCAGGCAGCAAGUCGAAGAAAACACUGCUGCACUGUGACGUGGAGGUUGGGGACAGACAGCCCCACAGCUCCCCCAAGGUUUCUGCCUCCGUCCAAGUCAAGCGCAAGUCGACCGCGGCGAGCUCCGAUGACGACGACGACUGUGGCCCGCUGAUGCGGAGCGUGUCCAUGACGGUGGUCAGCGAUCCAGUGCCCACAUCUUUCAAGACCAAUUCGAGCUUUGCCAAUCAAUCGAGGCCGACGCAGGGUCCCGCCUCCUUCAAGUCGGCGCGUCUGGCUAACUCUUUCUCCAACGCGAGCUGCCAUCUCGAGCGGCACCACCAGCACACUGCUGCCCUCGCAGGUAGUGUCUCUCGCCACAACCAACGCUCACUUUUUGAUAAGAUACAGGGCAGCGGCAGCUUUGCGGCCGGCGAAACAAUGGUAUCAGGCGGGAGCUUCACGGCGAACGGCGGCGCGGUGAACCUGUGGCGGUUGCCGUGGACGCAGCAGAAGGUGACCAUGUGCCCCAACUGCCAUCGCCCGCGUCAGCGCGAUCGCACCAUGUUCGUCUCUCGCGCCAGCUACACUCUGCAGGAGACCACCAUCGAAAACGGCAUGGGCGACGACAUGAGUGAGGCGAACGAAGACAUGUCCUACAGCGACUCAGAGGGCAUGGGCGCGCCGAUGAGCGACUCCGUCACCUGCCGCUGUGGGGUCGUAUCGGAGGGCGACGCGCCACUGGAUUACGACGACUCUGCCGAAGCCACCGAGGAACACCCGCAGAUGUUUGUCGUCGAGACGCAGAAUCCGUCUGCAGUUCAGUUGCCAGGCACCAUCGCCGAGGCCUCGGACAGCGAAGGCGAAGGCCGAGAGGACCUCCGGCGGUCGUACAAACUGUCGCUGGUGUCUCCCCCCACCUCCACCUCGCUACGGCGUCGUGCGCCGCAUGUGCAGCCGCCGCUGAGCGGCGCCUCCACUAAAAGCAACACCGCCUCUGUGCCGAAGAGGGUGACCCAUUGGCUUCACGAGCAGCAGACCUCGGAGGCACCCGUCGUAUUGAAGCCCAAGGCGUCCAGAUAGGCACCGAGCAGCCGACAGCGAAGAGAACGUAUCAGUUUGCUUCUUUUCCUCUUUGUUGGCAGCUGAGCGAGUUACGUCGUCUUACAAUCUUUUUUUUUCUUUGCGUAUUUAGUUCGCCUCCUCCUCCGGCCUCUUUUCUUUCAAGCCAGCCUGAAAUCAUCGAAGGAGAAAGCGACUGCAACAUCCGCACCGCUCUUCUUUUGUUGAAGGGCCUCUCCCACUUGCUUCUCUUCCUGUUUAGGACUCUACAUUCUCUGCUUCGCGAACGCUCUAAGUGCAUGCGUUCUUUGCCCCUCCCCCUCCUUCCCUUUGUCUUGUGUGGCUUUGCAGCGUGGAAGCGAGUGCCGCCCUACACGUCUCGAUUUUCAUCAUUCCUCGCCGUUCCUUCAUCUUUCUUCUUUUUUUUUUCUCUCCUCUGGCUGGUCAUUCUGAGGUCCCGCCUCUACCUUACAAGACGCGUGUUUUUGUUUGUUUUUCGUUCGUUUUUCCCUUGCUUCGCACUGCGCUACAUCCUCUUCAAAAGACACUCGUAGUGUCGCUUGUGUGUGUGCGUGUGUGCCUCUUCGCCUCUGCUUCAUGAUGCUUGUGCCUCUGUGCAUGCGUCUGUCCGCGCUUGUGCAAGUGCAUUUUCUUUUUCUUCCGUAAAGAUAGGUGUUGCCAUGCUCUUUUCUAUUUGCUCCCCCCUCGCCUGUUUUCUUGGCAUGCGCGUGUGCCCAUAGUCUCAGUGGUUUGCCCCGACGCUUGUCUAGCGCGUGAGGUUGAAAGUUUCCGUGCACGUGCUGCACGCGCUUGUUUUGCGUGUGGACUUCAGCGGCGCGAGCAGCACCCGUGCGCCGGACGAGCAUGACGAAGUCCAAAUAAGUAAAAGAGAAAGCAUGCCGAGCGCUACGCUGAUGGAGGGCAAUCAAAAGGUGGACAACAAAAUAUGUACAUGCGCUUCGCUACCGUGCUGACUGGGCUGGGAAAGAGCCCGGCGUGUCACUUCAAAAGGGGCUUCGGCGUAAGCGAGGCACGCUGCAACCGGUGUCUUUUCGUUGUUUUUCUUUUUGCAUUUUGUUUUUGCCGCCCUUGCUUACCUCUUCGAAUCUCACUUGCUCGAUCGGUCGGCGACGUUGAUGGCCUCCACGACUCCAGCCCUUGCCGCCGCCGUGCAAACGCUGGCGCGUUGGGCCCUUUGAUACGCCCUUUCUAUUAUCGUCUUACCUGUAUACGUAGAUGUGUACGGAGCAGAGACGUAAAGACACAGGAAAGAGGAACACACAACUACUCCCAACUGGGCUCUCCGCGCAUGCGUGUAUGUGUAUGCGUUCGGAUGGCGACGAUGAUGAUACACAGUCACACACCGCCUCCUUCCUGGCACAUCCGAGUCUUCUCCUUUUUCAUGUUUGCCUUCCUUCUUCGCGGCGAUUUCUUUCCCUCCUAGUGCGUGCUUUUCCUCGAGCUGCCAUUUUUUUUUUCGCUCAUUUGUGUCAUAUGUCUGUGCGUCCCUCAGUUCCACGUUCCCAACCGCUCAUCCCUCCCUCCCCCUCCUCUUACUUUAGGACUAUUCUCCCACACCUCGCCUGCUUUUUUUUUGAUUUGUGUGUGAUUUUUGUUCCUCUUCCGAUAUCCUUUUUUCUUGCCUACUCUCCUUCCUCUCUUCUCUAGAGCGGCGUACCUCCCUCCCCAUCCCCCUGCGUGCCGCGACCGCGCGCGGGGCGUGGAGCAGUGGUGCUGGCGCCGGACCUGCUGCGAGGGUAGCGUGACCAGCCACGGCGCAGAGAAGCGCGUGUGGUCGCCCUUGUUGCGGGGUCGCUCUCCCGCCCUCAUGGCACCCGCCACGGGCGCCGCCACCGUGGAGGACGGCUUGGUGCGACGGACCUGGGCACGUGUGCCGGCGCCGCUGUAGCCGGUCGCGUGCGUCUGUUUUUGCCAUGGAGAACGUGCGACCUGGUGCGCCACGCGCGAUCCGCGGAUCGUCCGACGCUCGAGGCAGACCGCGUUUCACGCAAUGGUGUUGCGCGCAGGGAUGCCAUUGCACGCACCUCACUCGCGCUGCACGGGCCUCCGCCGUCGUGUGUAUAUCGCUGCUCCCCACAUCCUCCGUCCCCUGACCUGGGAACGGCGGGCUGUGAGCGCUCUGUGUGCGCGGGCGCAUGCGUAUCGGCGGGGCUCUUGGGGUGGCCCCUUCCGCUUGACGCAGCCACGCCUGUGAAAGAGGUGCGGGUCGAGGACCAGGUGGGGUGCCCUUUGCUGCCCCCGACUCACAGCAGCGUGCCACCCUGCCGCGGCACAUGCGGGCAUGCGGUCCAGGCACGCGCCCACCCCCCGCUGCAUCGGCGGAAAGGGACGAUGUGGACAGCGCGCUCCCACGGGCAACGAUGCCGCGCUGAAGCAGGCCCCUCCCCCUUCCAAGGUAUGCACAAGUGCGAGCGCUGUGCGCAGGCGCUGUCGGUGGGCAGCUGGCACGGUGUGCCGCACUCCGAGCAAGGUGUGCGGGAGGUGGGCAGGGCUCAGCCCCCGGCUGCGUGUGAGCGGAAUAUGCGGCAUCUUCUGCGUCCGACCGGGGUGGGCUGAUGCUGCACAGGUGCCGGAAGCGUGGGGGAGGACAGCACCGGUCUGCACCAUCGAGUCCUCCAGACUCCCGUGUGGAGAGACGCCGCGCCGCGCUGCGGCAUGCCGCGGCCUGAAGCGGGUGAGGGCGAAGCAUGGCAUGCAGGGAGAGUGCGCAGGGUCUCGGAGGGCCCUGGGCUGAGUCUGGGCAGCGUCCUCCUUGAGCCCACCCGGCACGCACAUAGAAGAACAUCCCCUGCUGCCCGCACGGCAGACGCCGCCGCUUCCUGCCCUCGAGCCGGAGCGUGGGCGCGGCCCGCGUGGAUGACGCCGUGUCGUCCACACCCGGGCCCGCGUGGCGCCGAUGACACGGCACGCAUGCGAGGAAGGGGCGAGGAAGGAGAGGGAGAGGUCAUUAGGCACGCGCCCCGAUGCAACGGCAGGGCGGCUCGCCCUUGACGACGAGGGCGCAGCCGUGGCGCGGCAGGGGUAGGCGAAGUACGGGUGCAUGCGUACGUGUUUUGCGGUUUUUUUUUUUUUCGUGGCCGAGCGGUCUCUACUGGAAAACGUUGUCCUCUUUUCGCUUUGCGUUGGUGCGUUUUCGCCUGCUCUUUUUUUUUUAGUUUUUUUUUUCCGCUUAAAGGCGUGUCAGAAAUGGAUGCGGUUUGUGAGGUAUAUGUGUGUAUGUGCUCUGCGGUGACAUCUGGAUUGAACGGUGGUUUUGUUUUCUGGUUUCGUGUGUGCGGGUACCAGGCAUCAGAGGAAAUGUUUUUGUAUCGGCUGUGGUGGAAUCAGAUGCGCUGUGGUUGGUUUUUAGCCUGCAGCUUCUUUUUUUUUGCCCGGCAUGCGUUGAUGCUGAGCUCAGUUGUGUGUUCAUCUUCGUGCCCUCGCAGCCUUGUGCUUUUGUUGCCUUUGUCUUGGUUGUGAUGUGCGUGCGUGGACGUUUGCAUGAUGUGAUGGCUUGUUGCUUGGUCAUAUGUGUGGACCAUUUCAUUUCUUGUUGGUCUCCACCCGCCGUGCGACUCUCUCUCUUUGCACCCGUACACGAACACUGACGCAGGCAAACAGUGAACGGAAGAGGCUUUGGGCCAUCCUCCGCCGCGCAGCCGCUGCACUUGUAUCCCUUCUUUUUUUUUUUCGUUUUCGCUCUCUUCUGUUCUGUCUCUUGCCUUUGGUUGUUGUUGCGCGUGUGCUUGCGCGUAACAUGUUUAUGCCAUGUAUAUAGAUAAAAUUUUUUUUUCUCAUUAUUAUUAUUCGUGCAUGUCUGUGUGAAGUUUUUUUUUCGAUCGUUUUUUUUUCUUUUAUGUUCGUGUUGUUGAUAUUGUUCAGCGCGUGUGUGCAGUUUGCGCUUCGCCGUUGCUGCUGUUGCUCGGUAAUGUUUUUUUUUUUUUCCUCUUCGUUGCUUGCGCCCGCCUCGUUCUUGGGUGUGCUGCUUCGCGCCUUCUUUGUGUGUCGUGUGCUCCUUUUCUGUGUACUCGGCAGGGCCGAGGAUGAAGGUCAAGGCUCCCGUGCUGAUGACCCCUUGCUUCCCCUCUUCCGCUUUUUUCUCCCGCCUGAUUUCAAGCUCUAUAUAUACAUGUAUACCGCCUCUGUUGUUCUUUGCUGUACACGUGCGUGCACGGACGACACCGACAGAGAGACACAUAAUCACCUGAUUGCCCCUUUGUGUGCCUCCUCCUCCUCAGAUCCCUCCACGCUCUCGCUGUCUUAAUGCCUUUUCGUUUUUUUUUUCUACUUUUCGAGUAGGUCAUGUGGAGUUCUGGAGAGCCCGUGGGGAAGCACGAAAGAAAGGGAGUUCCAAUACGCAAUGAAUAUGUUUCAUGAAGACAGAGAGGCUAGCAGGUUAGCCCCCUUUCUUUGCGUCGGUCGACAUCCCUUCCUGUGAGAGGAACAGAGCCGAACAGAGAAGCUGAGAAUGAGGGCCGACGACCCCGCAGCGACGGAUGAGAGGCCUCCUCGUUUGUAGUGUUUUGAUGGCUGUUCGCCUUGGGUCGGCGACGGAUGCCGUGCAGAUUGGGAAUCAGCAACUUCAAUCUGUGACAUCUGAGGAUGGAAAAAGAGAGGAGAGCCCACAGCGCAAAGUUGGCAGCAAACGCGACGUUCAUGUUCGAUAUGUCCGUCAUUGUGUUUUCACAGCUCUCUUCGUGAGUUGUUUCUCGUUUUAUCUCCUUAAUCGCCACGUCGCAUGUGAUGCAACAAGCAAGCGCGCCCAUUCUUGAGUCUGCGCUCAUCUUCGUUUUACGGCCCCCGGCUGCUCUCCUCGUUUCUUGUACAGAUUCUCCUGCUCCCCUGUUGCGCUGCCCCUGCGCAACUAUUCCGCAUCGCCGGCCUUUUUUUUUCUCUCUGCCGACGCUAGUGGAUUUCUUUUUUGUUGCAUCUCCUCCUUCUUGCGUCUCUUCGACAUCUGCCCUUCUCCGCAGCCGACUGACCGAACAGCCCGCCAUCGUUUUUUGUCUAUGAACGCCGCUAAGUUCAGUCGAGGUAAGCUGAAGCGGCUCGACUUGAUGCAAACCAAGAAGAGCGUUGUAGUGAAAAAGAAACGAGGAGGAGAGAUGCAGAGAAAACCACGCGCUUCGGUGCAGCCCAAGCACAUGCAGAAUCUCUCUUUCGUGAACGCGGGCCGAAUGAGAGUCGCGAAGCAGACUCUGCGCGCCUACCCCACGCCCGGCAUCACGAGAUGAAAAUCUCUCUCUAUAAAAACGGUGAGUUUAGUAAGGUCUGAAAUCAUGCGCACGGGCUAAAGGGAAAGCGCAUGAAGGAGUUUUGAACCAGCGGAAAACACGGCACAACGAAAAAAAAAAUUGUCCGGAGUCCCUGUGCGAAGGAAUGAACGUCAACGCGACAGUACGCGGUGCGACGGAGCGUCCGUUCCGUCACUCGUUGUUUGCUCUGCAAGCCUUUUUAUGUUGUUUCUGUAAUGCUCCACCAUCUUCCUUUCGACUAUGCACCCCAUUUUUUUGCGUUGUCACUAUAAUGUAGUGGGCGCUUUUCUUUUUCUUUGCCUUCUCGUUAAGAUUACUUGCGCACCGUGGAUGCGGAUGCAGUUCUCCGUUUCCUGGACGCUUCUCUGAUCCUUAUUCCGUCUUCCGUCAUUCUCUUUGAUUUCUUUGACUCUCCAUGUGGAUUCGCUCGUUGUGUUUUACUCACAGGCCUGAGCCUUCGUCAUCGCUGGAAUGCUUUCUUUUUCAUCGCGUGAUUGUCCUUUUACGUUCAAUACUCCUCUGUCUCUUUUUCACCGCCGACCCCUCUGUCUCUCCUGCGACACCGCUGCUAGGUCGGGUGCUGCAGGAUACGCGAACCGCUCCACCUUUCUUCUGGUUUCUCCACUUCUCUCUCUUUCUACGAGGCGCAGACAAGCCAGCAACGCUUAGCGAUCGCCAGAAAAAAAAAUCAUCAUGCGCUGUGCUCCUUUCUUGCCUUCGUUUUGUCUUUUCUAUUCCUAAUCUCCACCUCCACCUCCUCCUGCACCACCACUUCCCCUUUUUCAUCAGUACGCGCGAAAGUUUUUUUUUUUUGUUGUUGUUUGUCCUUCUUUCCACCGACAAGUACAGCGCAUGCUUUUUUUUUGUUCUUUCUCUGUAUCACUUCCUGCUCGACCGCUGUUCUCCAUUUUUUCUCCCUCUCUUAUGGCCCUCCUCCCUCUGAUAAGCUGAUUGUGCUUCUUUCCCUUUUUUUUGUAUGUUUGUGUGUUGUUCGUCGUCGUGCUUGUUGCACCUGAGAAUUCGCCCUCAGUCAUUCUCUCUUCCUCUUGUUUUGUGGUGUGCGUGUGCGUAUGUUGUGAAACAGCCGCACAUCUUGUGGGGGUCCCACGUACGCCCCCUAUCAAAACGAACGCGCCCUGCAGCGCUGGCGCUCCCUCUUGUUGUCUUCCUCUUCUUUUUCUCUCUCUGUGUGUGUGCGUGUGCUGUUCUCUGCUUUAACCGAGACUUUGUGGUUGUGAAGAGAAGCGUCGUCGGUAAUGCAACUGAAGAAAGAUGGGCGUCCAAGCGAGACUAAGAGGGAUAGAAGCGAAAAAAAGAAAGGAACUCACAACAAGUGACAUAUCAGACGUGCUGUUGAAGGACUCUACUCAUCACUGCCUUCGCGGCUUUUGUUUUUUCGCUGAAUGUUUUGGAUGCCGUCCUUCCAUCAUUCUGACUAAAAAAGAAAAACACUGCGACUAUCGUAUGCCUGUGCUUUGUUCUCCUGCUGCAGCCGAGGAUCGUGCAUGCGUGUAGUGGCGGUGCGCCGUCGCGUUCAUGUGGGCAAGGGGAUACGCGUCGGACAUGCGCAGUGGUGAGUGAGACUGCUUUUGAAUAACAUGAGUACCCCCUGGGCAGGCCUGCUCAACCUCACCUCCCCUUUCCCCCUUUUCAUACGUGUGUGUGUGUGUUAUGUUCUCCUUUUUGUUUCUUUGCCUAAACGUGGUGGACGCCUUUUUGUUUUCGUCUCUUCGCAGCAUCGGCAUAAGCGAACUAACAAUUCGCGAGUAAAGAAAUGCACAUGAAUGACCUUUGAUAGCGGAAUUGUUGCCGCCUCUCCUGCCUGCCCGUCACGCGCGUAGUGGAUAACCAUAUUUGACGGAUACUGUCGUCAUAUGACUUGAUGCGGGGUUCUUGCUGGCUCCUGGUGUGAAUGCUCAACGAUUGUUUUGUUUUCUCUUCUCAUAUCUCUGCUUCUCGUGCCACUCACUUUUCUCUGCUCGCUCUGUCCCUUGCUUGCAUGAUAUAUAUAUGUAUAUCCGAUGUGGUGUGUACUGCUCAACGCGCGUGUGCGCUUCCGACUGUCUUGCACAG